rnacentral:rRNA from 1 species
CCUACGGGUGGCUGCAGUGGGGAAUAUUGGACAAUGGGCGCAAGCCUGAUCCAGCCAUGCCGCGUGUGUGAAGAAGGCUCUAGGGUUGUAAAGCACUUUCAGUGGGGAGGAUAAGUUAUCGGCUAAUACCCGGUAAUGCAGACGUUACCCACAGAAGAAGCACCGGCAAACUCCGUGCCAGCAGCCGCGGUAAUACGGAGGGUGCGAGCGUUAAUCGGAAUUACUGGGCGUAAAGCGCGCGUAGGCGGUUUGAUAAGCUGGAUGUGAAAUCCCCGGGCUCAACCUGGGAACUGCAUCCAGAACUGUCUGACUAGAGUACAGUAGAGGGUGGCGGAAUUUCCUGUGUAGCGGUGAAAUGCGUAGAUAUAGGAAGGAACAUCAGUGGCGAAGGCGGCCACCUGGACUGAUACUGACGCUGAGGUGCGAAAGCGUGGGGAGCA